rnacentral:rRNA from 1 species
GGGUGAGUAACGCGUGAGCAACCUUUCCCAGACAGGGGAAUAACACACCGAAAGGUGUACUAAUACCGCAUAAGACCACGGGAUCACAUGGUUCCGGGGUAAAAGAUUUAUCGGUUUGGGGUGGGCUCGCGUCCGAUUAGGUAGUUGGUGAGGUAACGGCCCACCAAGCCGACGAUCGGUAGCCGACCUGAGAGGGUGAUCGGCCACAUUGGGACUGAGACACGGCCCAAACUCCUACGGGAGGCAGCAGUGGGGAAUAUUGGGCAAUGGGGGGAACCCUGACCCAGCAACGCCGCGUGGAGGAAGAAGGUUUUCGGAUCGUAAACUCCUGUCCUUGGAGACGAGUAGAAGACGGUAUCCAAGGAGGAAGCCCCGGCUAACUACGUGCC